rnacentral:rRNA from 1 species
AGCGCUUAGAAGUGAGAAUGCCGGUGUGAGUAGCGAAAGACGGGUGAGAAUCCCGUCCACCGAUUGACUAAGGUUUCCAGAGGAAGGCUCGUCCGCUCUGGGUUAGUCGGGUCCUAAGCUGAGGCCGACAGGCGUAGGCGAUGGAUAACAGGUUGAUAUUCCUGUACCACCUAUAAUCGUUUUAAUCGAUGGGGGGACGCAGUAGGAUAGGCGAAGCGUGCGAUUGGAUUGCACGUCUAAGCAGUAAGGCUGAGUAUUAGGCAAAUCCGGUACUCAUUAAGGCUGAGCUGUGAUGGGGAGAAGACAUUGUGUCUUCGAGUCGUUGAUUUCACACUGCCGAGAAAAGCCUCUAGAUAGAAAAUAGGUGCCCGUACCGCAAACCGACACAGGUAGUCAAGAUGAGAAUUCUAAGGUGAGCGAGCGAACUCUCGUUAAGGAACUCGGCAAAAUGACCCCGUAACUU